AAAAAAAAAAAAAAAGAACAGGAAGAUAGGUGUAGAUCAAAUGUCGCCCUUGUUUUGUCCAAAUUCAAAAUUCUCAAUCAUAAGUUUCCUUCCAGUGACCUACCUCUUUAGACAACUCUUACUUGACUUGGAGCUCCUCUAGUAGCCCCCAUGUGAACUAAAACACUCGCAUCUGAUUUCAUUCCUAAACUAGAAGAGUUUUCUAUACGUUUUACAGGAUCCUCAAUACAAAAGUGGCAUACACUUCUGAAGAUAAUUCAGAAUUUAAGGUGCCCUUUUCAUGUAGAAUUCUAAAUAUGCUGGUGAUUAUUAAAGAAAUAAAUGAUUUAUUAAAUGGUUAAUGAGAUUAGUAAAAAUAAAA
rnacentral:misc_RNA from 1 species